rnacentral:rRNA from 1 species
UACAGAGGGGGCAAGCGUUGUUCGGAAUUACUGGGCGUAAAGGGCGCGUAGGCGGCCUGCUAAGUCGAACGUGAAAUCCCCGAGCUCAACUCGGGAACUGCGUCCGAUACUGGCAGGCUUGAAUCCGGGAGAGGGAUGCGGAAUUCCAGGUGUAGCGGUGAAAUGCGUAGAUAUGCGGAGGAACACCGAUGGCGAAGGCAGGUCUCUGGGCCACUACUGACGCUGAGAAGCGAAAGCAUGGGGAGCGAACAGG